GCAAUAUGUGAAGAUGAGGUCAGGGAGGACCCUAAAUCUCAUCCCCUGUGACUUUAUUAAAAAAAAGAAAAAAGAAAAAAGAAAGGGUGAGGCUGGUAAGAUGGCUCUGUAGGUAGAGGUACCCUGAUGUGAAGCCCGAGGACCCAGCUGAAAAACAGCUACCGGAAGAAGUUGUCCUCUGACCCCUGUGCUCCCGCUGUGAUAUGCUGAUGUCCACACACAAAAUAAAAUCAAGAGCGCAGAUGGAGGACUGGAAAACAGAGAGGUACAGAGAAGUGUGAAGACAGGGCAGAGGCAGAAUUUGGAACAGGGAAGGUGCUAGGAACUCUUUGAAUCCUUGGAAACUAGAGAGGUGAAGAAGAACUGGCCCUCAGAAUCUCCAGAAGGUUAUGACGCCGCCAGCGCCUUUGUUUCAGCCUCCUAAUCCAGAAGUAAAGCAAAUGCAUUUCUGCAGUUCUAAGCCAACAAGCUUGUUUUAUGUUAUAGCGGCCAUUCCAAUUCAGAGGUCAACAUCAUGGUUUCAAGGACAGGACUUCUUCGUGGAAGCUUUGAGAAGCCACGCUGCAAAGGGUCUUGUCUCUCUGCCUAGGGCUCACAGGCACGUGGCGCCCCCUGGUGUCUGGGUUGCCACUCAGCGUCUGGAUGAUUUCUGGUGAUCUUGCCAGUCUUUCUCCUGAGCUACAUGCUCUGAGCUAAACAGAGGCCGGUACUCACAUCUGUGAAUCCUGGGUUAACAUAGAAUCUCAUCCUCAACACUGUUCUAUCUCAUCCCCAUGGGCCAGAUGCUCCUAAUGACUUCUGUACUACCAACCGGGGCAUGAACUCAGCCCAGGAAAUCGUACUGCCCACAUUCAAGGCGAGUCUAACUUCAACAAACCUAAUCUAGAUACUCUCUCAUGGGCAUGAUCAGAGAUUUGUUUCCAUGGUAACCCCAUCAAGUUGAGAAGCAAUAUCGCCAUCGUCCAAGUGAAUUUCUAAAAAAGAAGCUUCGUCUAAAUUAUGUUACAGGUUAUGAGAACUUGGGAUUUUGAUGCUGGUUUUAACGACAUACACCAUCAGCUGAAGAUAGUCUGCAGGGACGUUUCCUGAUGUUUCGUGAUGCCGAAAACAAAUGUUGGCAUAGAGGUAGAGUCCUGCUUGAACGUUUUGUGAGGAGGCAGAACCCACAGCAGGACGGUCAGGGAAGAGUCGCUAUUUCUAGGGUCACCACUUGGUAUUCUCAAAAGGCCAAGACCAAGGACCGGAGUAGCAUCAUAAUGACCUGGAUGUUUCCUAGACUGGGCCUCCUCUAGACCCUGAACUUCAAGCUCAACAGAUCAUCAGAUAUCAGAUCAUCUCUGAUAAAGAUAAUU